AUUGUUAAUGGUUGAUAACAUUUUCAGAACUCUGGGAUUUUAAAAUUUCAUGGGGAUGAACUAACAUGAAUAUGAACAAAUAAUUCCAUGGAGAAAAACAAACGUCGGACUUGAAUAUACCUCUAGUUUGAUGGAUCAAAAAUUUGUGAAGCAAAAUCUGGAAACUCACGGCUGCUCCACUCCUUUGGCUAUCUCUUUGUUUUUCCCAGAAUUUGGAAGGAGGCUAAAAAUUUGUGGAAUGGUUCGGGCUGGUUUCAAGGUGAAUGACCCAGUUCAAGAUGUAUUCAAUGGGCAGGAGGUGGACGUAUGGCCUCGUAUUGCAUGGAGUCCUAAAUGGGGGCUUACAUUCUCGUAUUACCGGAAGGAAGAUCUACCAUUGCCAUUAAGGGCCAAAGCAUCUUCUCCAGGAUCUUGCCUUGGAUGGAGCUCUAGUUAUCGAUGCUGAGGUUAAAGUAGGAGGAACUGUGCACAACGCCGGAUGGGCCAUUGAAAAAGUCGAUUACAAGGAUACUUCAGUGCCUGAAGAAGUGAGGGAUCAGAG